rnacentral:misc_RNA from 1 species
AACGCAUAUUGCGCCCAUUAGUAUUCUAGUGGGCAUGCCUGUUCGAGCGUCAUUUCAACCCUCAAGCCUUGGCUGCUUGGUGUUAGAGCAUCUGCGAGGAACUGCAGGCUCUGAAAAUCAGUGGCGGGCUCGCUGUGGACCCGAGCGUAGUAAUUUAUCCUCGCUUAGGGGCACAUAGCGGGCAUCCAGCCGUAAAACCCCCCACUAUUUUAAAGGUUGACCUCGGAUCAGGUAGGAAUACCCGCUGAACUUAA